rnacentral:lncRNA from 1 species
AAGUCAAUGCCACUGGUGGAGCAGGCAUGGUGGGGGGAGUCUUCCCCCACAAUAUUUACAUAUUUUCACUUCAUUUCCUUACAAUGCCUAAAGCUCUACUAAUUAGAAACUCAUUUGAGAUAACUAGUAACCAAUUUAAAAAUGCAAACACCUCCUGGGGCUAGCCAGAGUCCUCCAAACAGUCAUGUAAAUUGGUUCUGUCAAGGAUUUCCUCCUACCCCCUACUGAGAGCCAGUUGCAAGGAGAGACUAGGGAAGGGCAUUGGGUAACUGUAUGGAGCAAGUGAAGAAAUCAGCAGAGUGAAAAUAGAGGGAGAACAACACGAUGGGGGAAAGGCAAAGUUAGUGCCACAUUGGUUUCAAUUCUGCCACUCAAGAGUGACACGAGUGAGACCCAUGACAUAGUAAAGCAUCCCCUGUGCCUUCCGCGGAUGCUCCGGAGCCUCCCCCUCGGGCCCUUCUGGGGAGUCCCCAGGCCCAGACCCCGGGCUAUGUCCAGCAGCAGCUGCCGCCGCCAUAGCUCCAACUGCAGCCCACGGGUGUAACUUUUUAUAUUUUUAAGUUGGAUACAUCAAGCUACUUGGCUUUUGCUUUCAUCACAUCACUGAGGAAAGCGGUGGUUGCUUAUGGUACCCCUGUUUUUACUGCAACCUGUAAUGGAUGAGAAUCUCCCUGUUGCAAAGAGCAAAACACUGAACUAAAUUGUGCUGCAACACAGCCCUGUGUUGGGGGACUGGGAGUGAUCAUGCAAACAGUUGCAAAUU